CAUGCAUAGGAACUGAUGAGCGCUUACAUCGAACUAUCAAGGACUCGAAACAAUGAUGCUGAUUAUUGCGUUCAUUGUUGUCUUCUGUCAGAAACAAGCUGUGAUGACAGAAAAUGUUUCAUAUGUGAAAGACGUUCGAUUUGUUGAUGGAGUUAGCCCGUAUGAUGGAGCUGUGGAAGUUCUUGUCGGUGAUACCUGGGGUCCAGU